ACGCAAGUAGUUUAGAGGCAGAACAACGACCCUUAGCAUGCCUUGAGUAAUUCUCUCGUGUAGACCUUUCUACUCGUUAGUUUCAAGUGGAGAUUGGAGACGGCGGUUCGAAUCCGCCCUUGUGUG
rnacentral:tRNA from 1 species